rnacentral:rRNA from 1 species
UGGGGAAUAUUGCACAAUGGGCGCAAGCCUGAUGCAGCCAUGCCGCGUGUGUGAAGAAGGCCUUCGGGUUGUAAAGCACUUUCAGCGAGGAGGAAGGUGGUGGACUUAAUACGUUCAUCAAUUGACGUUACUCGCAGAAGAAGCACCGGCUAACUCCGUGCCAGCAGCCGCGGUAAUACGGAGGGUGCAAGCGUUAAUCGGAAUUACUGGGCGUAAAGCGCACGCAGGCGGUUUGUUAAGUCAGAUGUGAAAUCCCCGGGCACAACCUGGGAACUGCAUUUGAAACUGGCAAGCUAGAGUCUCGUAGAGGGGGGUAGAAUUCCAGGUGUAGCGGUGAAAUGCGUAGAGAUCUGGAGGAAUACCGGUGGCGAAGGCGGCCCCCUGGACGAAGACUGACGCUCAGGUGCGAAA